rnacentral:rRNA from 1 species
GAUGAACGCUGGCGGCGUGCCUAAUACAUGCGAGUCGAGCGAACGGACGAGACUCUUGCUUUUCUGAUGUUAGCGACGGACGGGUGAGUCACACGUGGAUAACCUACCUAUCAGACUGGGAUAACUUCGGGAAACCGGAGCUCAUACCGGAUAAUAUUUUGAACCGCAUGGUUCAUGAGAGAAAGACGGUCUUGCUGUCACUUAUAGAUGCAUCCGCGCUGCAUUAGCUAGUUGGUAAGGUAACGGCUUACCAAGGCAACGAUGCAUAGCCGACCUGAGAGAGUGGUCGGCCACACGGGAAGGGGGACAGCGUCCAGACUACUGCGAGAGGCAGCAGUAGGGUAUCGGACGCAGUGGUCGAAAGCCUGACGGAGCGGCGGCGCGUGAGUGGUGGAGGUGUUGGGAUCGUAAAAAUCUGUUAUGAGGUAUGAACAUAUGUGUGAGGAACUGUGGAGAUCGUGACGGUACCUGAACAGAAAGCGACGGCUAACUACGUG